rnacentral:rRNA from 1 species
GACGAACGCUGGCGGCGUGCUUAACACAUGCAAGUCGAACGGAAAGGCCCUGCUUUUGUGGGGUGCUCGAGUGGCGAACGGGUGAGUAACACGUGAGUAACCUGCCCUUGACUUUGGGAUAACUUCAGGAAACUGGGGCUAAUACCGGAUAGGAGCUCCUGCUGCAAGGUGGGGGUUGGAAAGUUUCGGCGGUUGGGGAUGGACUCGCGGCUUAUCAGCUUGUUGGUGGGGUAGUGGCUUACCAAGGCUUUGACGGGUAGCCGGCCUGGGAGGGUGACCGGCCACAUUGGGACUGAGAUACGGCCCAGACUCCUACGGGAGGCAGCAGGGGGGAAUAUUGCACAAUGGGCGGAAGCCUGAUUCAGCAACGCCGCGGGCGGGAUGACGGCCUUCGGGUUUGAAACCGCUUUCGCCUGUGACGAAGCGGGGGUGACGGUAAUGGGUAAAGAAGCACCGGCUAAAUACGUG